UACAGAGGUGCCGAGCGUUAGGCGGAAUCACUGGGCUUAAAGCGUGUGUAGGCGGACGUCUAAGUACCUUGUGAAAUCCCACGGCUCACCCGUGGAACUGUUGGGUAUACUGGGCGUCUUGAGCCACCUAGGGGCCAGCGGAACAAAUGGUGGAGCGGUGAAAUGCGUAGAUAUCAUUUGGAACGCCAACGGUGAAAACAGCUGGCUGGGGGUGUGCUGACGCUGAGACACGAAAGCCAGGGGAGCGAACGGG
rnacentral:rRNA from 1 species